rnacentral:rRNA from 1 species
GACGAACGCUGGCGGCGUGCUUAACACAUGCAAGUCGAACGGAAAGGCCCUGCUUUUGUGGGGUGCUCGAGUGGCGAACGGGUGAGUAACACGUGAGUAACCUGCCCUUGACUUUGGGAUAACUUCAGGAAACUGGGGCUAAUACCGGAUAGGAGCUCCUGCUGCAUGGUGGGGGUUGGAAAGUUUCGGCGGUUGGGGAUGGACUCGCGGCUUAUCAGCUUGUUGGUGGGGUAGUGGCUUACCAAGGCUUUGACGGGUAGCCGGCCUGAGAGGGUGACCGGCCACAUUGGGACUGAGAGACGGACCAGACUCGUACGGGAGGCAGCAGGGGGGAAUAUUGCACAAUGGGCGGAAGCCUGAUGAAGAAACGCCGCGUGCGGGAUGACGGCCUUCGGGUUGUAAACCGCUUUCGCCUGUGACGAAGCGUGAGUGACGGUAAUGGGUAAAGAAGCACCGGCUAACUACGUG